UGAAGAAGAGCUUUAAAUGACAUCUUUCAGUGGACUGCUAGGGACUAUGUCCUCAUUUGUUCUUCCUGUAAAGAAUUUCUGUCGUUGCUUUUCUGCUACUCAAGGAUGGAAAUGGAGAAGAGCCUAAGAAAAGAAGGUCCAGUGACAGGUCCAAAGUGGAUUCCAGUUCAAGGAGAGGCACCAAGACCUGACACCAUUACUGAAGCUAUGGGGCAUUCACAUAAAGGGACAUAACAUGACUGCCCUCCAAAAGACCCAAAAACCAGCUGAAAGAGUCAGAUGCAGAUAUGUGUGUCCAAGCAAUGAGCAGAAGCUACUGACUUUCUUGUUGAAUUAGGGAAAAGCUGGAGGAAGCUAAGGAAGAGGGUGACCCUGUAGGAUGACUAGCAGUCUCAACCUGGACCCCAGAGAUUUCUUAGACACUGGAUCACCAACCAGGCCAACAUACAGCAGCUGAGAUGAGACCUCCAACACAUAUACAGCAGAGGACUUAUGGAUCUGGGUUCAGUCAGAGAAGAUGCACCUACUCCUCAAGAGGCUGGAGGCCUGAGGAAGUUUUGAGAUUAUAUCACAAAAGAAGUUAUCCUGUAUGUUAGAAGAUAGAAGCAUCUUACGUGGACCCUUUUCCUGCUGAUCAUCCUAACAGGCA